UACAGAGGGGGCAAGCGUUAUUCGGAAUUAUUGGGCGUAAAGGGCGCGUAGGCGGCCUUCUAAGUCGAACGUGAAAUCCCUGGGCUCAACCCAGGAACUGCGUCCGAGACUGGUGGGCUCGAAUCCGGGAGAGGGAUGUGGAAUUCCAGGUGUAGCGGUGAAAUGCGUAGAUAUCUGGAGGAACACCGGUGGCGAAGGCGACAUCCUGGACCGGUAUUGACGCUGAGGCGCGAAAGCCAGGGGAGCAAACGGG
rnacentral:rRNA from 1 species